rnacentral:lncRNA from 1 species
UUUUAUUCUAUUUCAUUAUGAAAAUGCUUGUUAUGACCCACUAAAUUUAUUUCAUGACCAGUAGUGUGAAAAAUACUGUGUCAUUAAGUGAUACAAAACCCCACUUUAUUUUGAGUCAGAAAAACACAUAAACAAUCCAAGUUAAUUGCCUGAACAUCUUCAAUUAUACAGGGAUUAAAAGUUCAAUCCUUGAAUCAUGUAGAACAUGGUUCAAAUUUUGGCGAAAUUUAUUAUUCCAUAUAACCUUUGGAAUAAUGAUACUGGGUAAUCCAGCUAUAAAUAAAAAUAAUCCUUUUAAUAAUAUGCUAAGGCCCUACAUUGUCACAAUUUCACUGUAACCCAUUGUAUUGCGUAUAAACACCAGGGGUUAAAUUUUAGCACAUAGAGAAUUACAUCAAGGGUGUCAACAUAAACUAAAUGUAGGUAUCCAAGGGAGUAAAAUAUUCAUCCUUUUAAUAUCAUUUGUGAAUCAGGAAAAAAAAAAGAAGUUACAAGGACUGAAGUUUUUAUUUCGGAGUAACAUCAAGAUUACGUCCAGCUGGUGGAAGCUUCAUGAACUUCUAAAGGUAAUCCAUUGGAUCACAGGAAGAGACAUUACUGAGAAAUGUAAAGUUUUGACCGAAGAAAGGUGAUGUGUACAUUUGCAGGUGAGCUGAAUGUGAUCUAACAAAGGGUCAAAUGGCCAGCUUUCAAAGUGUCAGUCCAGAAAAUAUUAAGAUGCUCCUGUAUUCUGUGAUUCAAAUUUAAACGAAAGCGAAUCUGUAGAGUAAGCGUAAAAACGAGCUCAUCGAAUUCUUCUUUUCCCAGUGGUUAUCACUUUGGGGUAGUGUACUUAUAAACUUGUUUCAAGUUUUUUUCUCAGUCACUUCGGUUCUUCUGCUUUGGAAGCACCUGAGCCACAUCCUUAUCAUCCUUCAGCUGCCCCUUACCUGGCCCAGCAGCUUCUGGAAUGAAGGGAAAGAAACUUGUGGAAAAGGAGUUGGAGAAGUAGCGAAUAAAGAAAAUUACAAAUGGAAAAGACGUAGUAAAUGACAAUAUGGAAACUAAGGUAAGCCAUAUGGAAAAUGAGCAUUUGUUUGUUGUGAAAAAUUGGUGCAUAAAUGACUCAAAGAUAAGAGCUUAUGAGAAUUUCUAAUGACUACCUCCAGCAUGUGUAUUUCAUCCUGUCUCCCUUAGUUAAUUUCUUUAAGAAAAAGAGGGCUAUUUUUAAUUAACAGCACUAAAAGGGAGUGAAAGUUUAGGUUGCAGGCACCGUAAACAUUUGCCAUGAAUCUUAUAUGCUUACUGUUUAUAGACACC